AUUUUUUUAAAAAAAUAUAUAACUUUUAGAAGAUCAGAACGCUUACGAUAAUUUAUAAUCCGUAAGCCAAAAAGAACACAGAAACUUCCAAUCAAACGGAACUUUACACGAUCAUUACAAUAUUACUCGCCAGAAACUCUGGGCAGAAGUUUCUUACAAGGUAGUAGCACUGAUACAUGAUUGAUGAUACAUAAAAAGAAAAAGCAUCCAUUAGAACGCGUAAUUUCCACGAGGAAAACCAUUUCAUUCUUGCAGAAUCCGCCUGCUUGCUAUGUGCAGAAACGGUGGCAGCAACAAGCAGUGUGGACACUGGAGCAAAAACACCAUACGCCAUAGCCAAAAACACAGCAAGCUUCUGGAGCAAGAUCGAACGAGAAACUGAGCAAGCAGCUAGCUAGCUAGUACGGAGUACUAUAUAUACACAGGGGCGGGCCCCCGGGGCGCCCGGGGGGGGGGGGGGGGGGGCCCCCCCGCUGCCAUGGCCGCCGGCGCGGCGGAGCAAGACGGCCGGCCCGGAGAAGGGAAAGCUACACACGUUACAUAUCACUUGGGCCCCCACAGCAGCAGGUGCAUCACCUUGUCCGCCUUGCCGCCNNNNNNNNNNNNNNNNNNNNNNNNNNNNNNNNNNCGGCGUCGCGCGCCAGGGCGCGCAGGGUCGCCGGGAGCUCCCACCUGCUCUCGCGCCCGCUGCUCAUGGCGAUCGAUCGAACCCGAACUCACCACUUCUUGCUAGCUCAGCUCGAUCGUCUUCUCCGGCGCGCCAACCCAGCUCGCCUCGCCUCGCCUCUUAUACUGCCACUCCUCUGCACAGAGCACACCCGGUCAUGGCUCCCGACGAGCAGUAGUAAUCAGCAAUAAAUAUCAGCCACCAUGAUUGAUGAACGCCACCACCUCGCAUCGAGUGGCCGAGAGAUCUCGGGUCGACGACGUCAGGGACGGGAUUUUUAUCCCGCGCGGCGGGGGCUCCACGCGGCCGGUGCGGAGUUUUUCCACGGCGUGGCGGUGGCGGCGAGCUGAGGCUGAGGUCGUGGGUG
rnacentral:lncRNA from 1 species